UAGGGAAUCUUCGGCAAUGGGGGGAACCCUGACCGAGCAACGCCGCGUGAGUGAAGAAGGUUUUCGGAUCGUAAAGCUCUGUUGUUAAGGAAGAACGAGUGUGAGAAUGGAAAGUUCAUGCUGUGACGGUACUUAACCAGAAAGGGACGGCUAACUACGUGCCAGCAGCCGCGGUAAUACGUAGGUCCCGAGCGUUGUCCGGAUUUAUUGGGCGUAAAGCGAGCGCAGGCGGUUAGAAAAGUCUGAAGUGAAAGGCAGUGGCUCAACCAUUGUAGGCUUUGGAAACUGUUUAACUUGAGUGCAGAAGGGGAGAGUGGAAGUCCAUGUGUAGCGGUGAAAUGCGUAGAUAUAUGGCGGAACACCGGUGGCGAAAGCGGCUCUCUGGUCUGUAACUGACGCUGAGGAUCGAAAGAGUGGGGAGCGAACAGG
rnacentral:rRNA from 1 species